rnacentral:rRNA from 1 species
UACAGAGGGGGCAAGCGUUUGUUCGGAAUUACUGGGCGUAAAGGGCGCGUAGGCGGCCUGUUAAGUCGAACGUGAAAUCCCCGGGCUCAACCUGGGAACUGCGUUUGUGACUGUAUGACUAGAGUACGGUAGAGAGGGGUGGAAUUCCUGGUGUAGCAGUGAAAUGCGUAGAUAUCAGGAGGAACAUCGAUGGCGAAGGCAGCCCCUUGGACCUGUACUGACGCUCAUGCACGAAAGCGUGGGGAGCAAACAGG